UCCUGCCUACGGGGGGCAGCAGUGGGGAAUAUUGCACAAUGGGGGAAACCCUGAUGCAGCGACGCCGCGUGAGUGAAGAAGUAUUUCGGUAUGUAAAGCUCUAUCAGCAGGGAAGAUAAUGACGGUACCUGACUAAGAAGCCCCGGCUAACUACGUGCCAGCAGCCGCGGUAAUACGUAGGGGGCAAGCGUUAUCCGGAUUUACUGGGUGUAAAGGGUGCGUAGGUGGCAGGGCAAGUCAGAUGUGAAAAUCCGGGGCCCAACCCCGGAACUGCAUUGGAAACUGUUUAUCUAGAGUGUCGGAGG
rnacentral:rRNA from 1 species